rnacentral:rRNA from 1 species
AGGACGAACGCUGGCGGCGUGCUUAACACAUGCAAGUCAAGGGGGCCCAGCAAUGGGCAACCGGCGAACGGGUGCGUAACACGUGAGCAACCUACCGAACUGUGGGGGAUAGCCGGCCUAACGGCCGAGUAAUACCGCAUACGCUCUCAGUGAGGCAUUUCAUUGAGAGGAAACCUACGGGACAGAUCGGAGGGCUCGCGGCCUAUCAGCUAGUUGGCGAGGUAACGCUCGACCAAGGCAACGACGGGUAGCUAGGUCUGAGACGGAUGGCCAGCCACAUUGGACUGAGAUACGGCCCAGACUCCGUACGGGAGGCAGCAGUGGGAAUCGUUGCGGUCAGUCGGACCUAACGGCGUCGACGCAGGCCGACGCCGGCGUGUCGGGAUCGGAAGCGUUCGUUACGGA